UUGAUGAAUUCUUGGGAGAAUAACAAAUGGGUUUGAUAAAGGAAAUUAUAUGAAUUAUGCUAGAGUUUUGGAUUGUUGAUUUGGGAUUGUUGUAUUCAUGUGGGUGAUGAAGAAUGACGUUAUUACACCUAAUUGAGAUUGUAGAAUCACCUAGAAGUAAUAGAAUGGGAAUUGGGUGAAGAAACACCAUUAAUGGAGAUUGUGAAGCUUUAUGCCCACUAAGUGUUUGAUAAAAUGCUUAGAUGACCAAAUCAUGAAUAUUAUUGCUAAUAUAGAAUCCCUUUGACUUGUAUUGCUAUAGAUCAAAGUUGAAAGGGGUGACGAACAUUGUAUUACGCUCAAAGGCUGGAAUUAAGGUAACGAUACACAGGUUGACGACUCAGCUAAUUAGGAGUGCACAUAUCAGCUAUUGGUGAGCCCCACAUUCAUUCGGGGCGUUGUCAGCUAUCCAGUUAUUUCAGUUUAUAGACAGCUCUAUUAUUCAGUACUCUUAGAGGCUUCAUAGACACAGUUCAGACAGUCAGAUAUUUAUUAUGUUAGCCUUGUUGGCAGUCGUUCAGUUGUUUGGUUUAGCCAUGUUGGCUAAUUUCAUAUAUGUUCAGAUUGCUUAAGUAUUUCCGCAUUAUGAUAUUUCAGUGAGACUUUCAGUU